rnacentral:tRNA from 1 species
ACCAAACAACUUUUAGAGGAAGAGGAGUCGAACCCCCAUAAAAAAAUCCAAAAUCUUUCGUAUUUCCAACUAUACUACCCCCUA